GUUGGGUAGGGGAGCGUUCUGUAAGCCUGCGAAGGUGGCCUGUGAGGGUUGCUGGAGGUAUCAGAAGUGCGAAUGCUGACAUAAGUAACGAUAAAGCGGGUGAAAAGCCCGCUCGCCGGAAGACCAAGGGUUCCUGUCCAACGUUAAUCGGGGCAGGGUGAGUCGACCCCUAAGGCGAGGCCGAAAGGCGUAGUCGAUGGGAAACGGGUUAAUAUUCCCGUACUUGGUGUUACUGCGAAGGGGGGACGGAGAAGGCUAUGUUGGCCGGGCGACGGUUGUCCCGGUUUAAGCGUGUAGGUGUGUGUUCCAGGUAAAUCCGGUUCACUUUAACACUGAGGCGUGACGACGAGGCACUACGGUGCUGAAGCAACAAAUGCCCUGCUUCCAGGAAAAGCCUCUAAGCAUCAGGUAACAUCAAAUCGUACCCCAAACCGACACAGGUGGUCAGGUAGAGAAUACCAAGGCGCUUGAGAGAACUCGGGUGAAGGAACUAGGCAAAAUGGUGCCGUAACUUCGGGAGAAGGCACGCUGACACGUAGGUGAAGUGAUUUACUCAUGGAGCUGAAGUCAGUCGAAGAUACCAGCUGGCUGCAACUGUUUAUUAAAAACACAGCACUGUGCAAACACGAAAGUGGACGUAUACGGUGUGACGCCUGCCCGGUGCCGGAAGGUUAAUUGAUGGGGUCAGCGCAAGCGAAGCUCCUGAUCGAAGCCCCGGUAAACGGCGGCCGUAACUAUAACGGUCCUAAGGUAGCGAAAUUCCUUGUCGGGUAAGUUCCGACCUGCACGAAUGGCGUAAUGAUGGCCAGGCUGUCUCCACCCGAGACUCAGUGAAAUUGAACUCGCUGUGAAGAUGCAGUGUACCCGCGGCAAGACGGAAAGACCCCGUGAACCUUUACUAUAGCUUGACACUGAACAUUGAGCCUUGAUGUGUAGGAUAGGUGGGAGGCUUUGAAGUGUGGACGCCAGUCUGCAUGGAGCCGACCUUGAAAUACCACCCUUUAAUGUUUGAUGUUCUAACGUGGACCCGUAAUCCGGGUUGCGGACAGUGUCUGGUGGGUAGUUUGACUGGGGCGGUCUCCUCCUAAAGAGUAACGGAGGAGCACGAAGGUUGGCUAAUCCUGGUCGGACAUCAGGAGGUUAGUGCAAUGGCAUAAGCCAGCUUGACUGCGAGCGUGACGGCGCGAGCAGGUGCGAAAGCAGGUCAUAGUGAUCCGGUGGUUCUGAAUGGAAGGGCCAUCGCUCAACGGAUAAAAGGUACUCCGGGGAUAACAGGCUGAUACCGCCCAAGAGUUCAUAUCGACGGCGGUGUUUGGCACCUCGAUGUCGGCUCAUCACAUCCUGGGGCUGAAGUAGGUCCCAAGGGUAUGGCUGUUCGCCAUUUAAAGUGGUACGCGAGCUGGGUUUAGAACGUCGUGAGACAGUUCGGUCCCUAUCUGCCGUGGGCGCUGGAGAACUGAGGGGGGCUGCUCCUAGUACGAGAGGACCGGAGUGGACGCAUCACUGGUGUUCGGGUUGUCAUGCCAAUGGCACUGCCCGGUAGCUAAAUGCGGAAGAGAUAAGUGCUGAAAGCAUCUAAGCACGAAACUUGCCCCGAGAUGAGUUCUCCCUGAGACUUAGAGUCUCCUGAAGGAACGUUGAAGACGACGACGUUGAUAGGCCGGGUGUGUAAGCGCAGCGAUGCGUUGAGCUAACCGGUACUAAUGAACCGUGAGGCUUAACCUUAC
rnacentral:rRNA from 1 species